UUUUGGCCCCAUGCAGGGUUUAAGUUAAGAACAUCCCCUGCAGACAGGAGCUUUGAUUUGACACCUUGGAGAAGCCCUGCAGCACCGCAAGAGCUCAGCCAGACCCAGAAGACAUUUUGCAGCACGUGCCCACCAUGGGGUACCUCACAUGGUGCAAGCUCUGCAGCUUAACCCUAAGGGUUUCUUUUAAAAUCAUGUAUGCAUUCAACUAAUGUGUGCAAACCCUCAGGAGCUGCAAGCUGUCUGCCUCAUGUUACCUUGGAUGCUCUUGUGUGCUGACCUGGGUAUUUAGAGCAAGAUAAUGAAAGUUCAUCAUUGUUACAAAACAGCAUGCACCCUCAUCAAUUCCAGCACCUAAAUUUCAUUAGGGAUGGGAUUUGUAGAGGAUGGGAAAGGAGUCAGAUUCCCAAAUUUCACUAAAAUUCAGUGUAAGUUAUAUGCUUAACGUUCUUGUCUGUUGGCUCAUGUGCUGUAAGUCUUGCUCCAACACCUUUGGUGGUACAUUAUGCUAAUUUUGUGUCCUCCAGCCCCUCUCUGGGAGACAACUUUCAGCACAAUGACAGAAUUUGCAAAUGAGAUCUAAGUUCCUUGGGGUGAUGUUGUGUGAGUUAACUGCUAGGAAAGGAGUAGAGCUCUUGCAACCCUUAGUUUGCACCAUCAUUUACAAUGUCUUUUGCUUCUUCACCUACACAGAGGAUGGCAUAACCCAAAGGUUAC